rnacentral:tRNA from 1 species
AGCUUUAUAUUCAAAAAUGAUAUUAAAUUGCAAAUUUAAUGGUAAAGUUAAACUUUUAAAGCUU